GAUUAAGUUAUUAAGGGCGCACGGUGGAUGCCUUGGCACUAGAAGCCGAUGAAGGACGUUACUAACGACGAUAUGCUUUGGGGAGCUGUAAGUAAGCUUUGAUCCAGAGAUUUCCGAAUGGGGAAACCCAGCAUGAGUUAUGUCAUGUUAUCGAUAUGUGAAUACAUAGCAUAUCAGAAGGCACACCCGGAGAACUGAAACAUCUUAGUACCCGGAGGAAGAGAAAGAAAAUUCGAUUCCCUUAGUAGCGGCGAGCGAAACGGGAAGAGCCCAAACCAACAAGCUUGCUUGUUGGGGUUGUAGGACACUCUAUACGGAGUUACAAAGGACGACAUUAGACGAAUCAUCUGGAAAGAUGAAUCAAAGAAGGUAAUAAUCCUGUAGUCGAAAAUGUUGUCUCUCUUGAGUGGAUCCUGAGUACGACGGAGCACGUGAAAUUCCGUCGGAAUCUGGGAGGACCAUCUCCUAAGGCUAAAUACUCUCUAGUGACCGAUAGUGAACCAGUACCGUGAGGGAAAGGUGAAAAGCACCCCGGAAGGGGAGUGAAAUAGAACCUGAAACCGUGUGCUUACAAGUAGUCAGAGCCCGUUAAUGGGUGAUGGCGUGCCUUUUGUAGAAUGAACCGGCGAGUUACGAUUUGAUGCAAGGUUAAGCAGUAAAUGUGGAGCCGUAGCGAAAGCGAGUCUGAAUAGGGCGUUUAGUAUUUGGUCGUAGACCCGAAACCAGGUGAUCUACCCUUGGUCAGGUUGAAGUUCAGGUAACACUGAAUGGAGGACCGAACCGACUUACGUUGAAAAGUGAGCGGAUGAACUGAGGGUAGCGGAGAAAUUCCAAUCGAACCUGGAGAUAGCUGGUUCUCUCCGAAAUAGCUUUAGGGCUAGCCUCAAGUGAUGAUUAUUGGAGGUAGAGCACUGUUUGGACGAGGGGCCCCUCUCGGGUUACCGAAUUCAGACAAACUCCGAAUGCCAAUUAAUUUAACUUGGGAGUCAGAACAUGGGUGAUAAGGUCCGUGUUCGAAAGGGAAACAGCCCAGACCACCAGCUAAGGUCCCAAAAUAUAUGUUAAGUGGAAAAGGAUGUGGCGUUGCCCAGACAACUAGGAUGUUGGCUUAGAAGCAGCCAUCAUUUAAAGAGUGCGUAAUAGCUCACUAGUCGAGUG
rnacentral:rRNA from 1 species